rnacentral:siRNA from 1 species
AGGGGUGUCAAAAUGGAUAA